rnacentral:rRNA from 1 species
UACAGAGGGGGCAAGCGUUGUUCGGAAUUACUGGGCGUAAGGGCGCGUAGGCGGCCUGCUAAGUCGAACGUGAAAUCCCUGGGCUCAACCCAGGAACUGCGUCCGAUACUGGUUGGCUUGAAUCCGGGAGAGGGACGUGGAAUUCCAGGUGUAGCGGUGAAAUGCGUAGAUAUCUGGAGGAACACCGGUGGCGAAGGCGACGUCCUGGACCGGUAUUGACGCUGAGGCGCGAAAGCCAGGGGAGCAA